rnacentral:rRNA from 1 species
UACGAAGGGGGCUAGCGUUGCUCGGAAUUACUGAGCGUAAAGGGCGCGUAGGCGGACAGUUUAGUCAGAGGUGAAAGCCCAGGGCUCAACCUUGGAAUUGCCUUUGAUACUGGCUGUCUUGAGUUCGGGAGAGGUGAGUGGAAUGCCGAGUGUAGAGGUGAAAUUCGUAGAUAUUCGGCGGAACACCAGUGGCGAAGGCGACUCACUGGCCCGAUACUGACGCUGAGGCGCGAAAGCGUGGGGAGCAAACAGG